CUUGAACGCAAAGAGAUCCAGCCCCCUUAUAAGCCAAAAGCUAGAGACAAGAGAGACACCUCCAACUUCGACAAAGAGUUCACCAGACAGCCUGUGGAACUGACCCCCACUGAUAAACUCUUCAUCAUGAACUUGGACCAAAAUGAAUUUGCUGGCUUCUCUUAUACUAACCCAGAGUUUGUCAUUAAUGUGUAGGUGAAUGCAAACUCCAUCGUUGAGCCUGGGGUGUAAGACUUCAAGCCAAGCGUAUGUAUCAAUUCUAGUCUUCCAGGAUUCACGGUGCACAUGCUGGCAUUCAACAUGUGGAAAGCUUGUCUUAGAGGGCUUUUCUUUGUAUGUGUAGCUUGCUAGUUUGUUUUCUACAUUUGAAAAUGUUUAGUUUAGAAUAAGCGCAUUAUCCAAUUAUAGAGGUACAAUUUUCCAAACUUCCAGAAACUCAUCAAAUGAACAGACAAUGUCAAAACUACUGUGUCUGAUACCAAAAUGCUUCAGUAUUUGUAAUUUUUCAAGUCAGAAGCUGAUGUUCCUGGUAAAAGUUUUUACAGUUAUUCUAUAAUAUCUUCUUUGAAUGCUAAGCAUGAGCGAUAUUUUUAAAAAUUGUGAGUAAGCUUUGCAGUUACUGUGAACUAUUGUCUCUUGGAGGAAGUUUUUUGUUUAAGAAUUGAUAUGAUUAAACUGAAUUAAUAUAUGC
rnacentral:lncRNA from 1 species